CCAACACUAAUGGGCGGGUCUUCACGUGACUAUCAGCAGUGGUUUGAAUUUUUCAAACUCUUUAGUCGCCUUAUAAAUAAAUGCAUCUGAUGUCCAAACUGCAAAAGUGGAGACUCUUUGUCGGCUGCUGACCUACCUGCACAUCUCACCGCCAAGAUGUUCUUUAAGGGAUAUGGGGCAGUGAGAGGCAGUAAAGGUGAAGACGGGGUGAAAGUGACGGCAGAUGGGUGCUGACGGAGGCUCAGCACAGAUGGACAAUAGGCUACACACGGUUUCUCCAUCAAGGGCAUAAUGCACAGUGAUGGAGGCUCCAUAAUAGCUGCACAGUGAAGCGUGCACGCUGCAACAUGAUAGGCUGAAGGGACAGGAAGAAAGACAGACUGGUAGACAUGGAUAGUAUGUGUGUGUUUGACUAAACAGAAAGAG